rnacentral:rRNA from 1 species
UUGAGCUCAGAUCAGGUAGGACUACCGCCUGAACUUAAGCAUAUCAAUAAGGCGAGGAACAGAAACCAACAGGGAUUCCCCUAGUAGUGGCGAAUGAAGCGGGAAAAGCUCAAGUUUGAAAUCUGGCGGGCGACCUCCAGAGUUGUAAGCUGAAGAGGCAUAGACCGACGAGGUCCAGGCUCAAUUUCCUUGGAACAGGAGGUCAUGGAGGGUGAGAACCCCGUCUGUGGCUUGGGUGCCGUCGUCCUUGUGUCUUGUCCUCGUAGAGUCGGGUUGUUUGGGAAUGCAGCUCAAAAUGGGUGGUAAAUUUCAUCUAAGGCUAAAUAUUGGCGAGAGACCGAUAGCAAACAAGUAGAGUGAUCGAAAGAUGAAAAGUACUUUGAAAAGAGAGUGAAACAGUACGUGAAAUUGUUGAAAGGGAAGCGUUUGGCAUCAGCCCAUGGCGUUCAAAGAUCAUCCAGGCUUCUGUC